AUACAACGAAAAGUUUAAUUGCGGCGCGGACGACGCUUAGUGGUAAUUGCUAAACUUCAGCGCCGUUAGACAGAAUCAGUUUAUUUUGUUUAUGGUCUGUUGCUAUAAGGCGCUGUAAAAUAGAGUCAGUUAAGUAAAGCGUUGUAUAUAUUAUAGUCUACUGCUGUCUACUAAUUGUUGUAUUUCUGAAAGCAUAUAAUAUGAAUGAUCAAACUUAAAACUUUGGAAGCAUUUGCGAUGACAAACGAAAUACCUGGUAUACCCUGUAAACACUUGCAUGAGCUACCUAUGACGUAAUCAAUAUUCGUGACGUCAUAUGGGACACCCCCGAAACUUGAAAUGGCGUCCACGAUAAAAAGACAACCUGAACCAGCCAAAGCGGUUGUAAGAGUUGACUCAAUGGCGAAGGUACCACUGCCAGUCAUUGGAAUAGCUGUGUGUGUUUGUACAUUGCCCCCAGCCAAACGAACCAGUGAUUUUCGAAUGAAGCUAUACAAUUGAAGUAACAACUGGCGUUGGCUGAACGUUUCUUACGAUGCAAACUCCGGAAGUUAUAACGUGACCGAUCCAGCUGGAAAAAAACCUUCAGCAUUUUUCGCUUUAAAAAUCCCAAAAUCUUUAUAUCGUUGCUUUCAAUAUACUGUGUGAUGACGUCAGCUUUCUGUAAUUUCAACUCCAAACAUACGUCACAAUAGCAUUUUGAGCGCAGCCAAUCAGAAGGAAGGAUAGAAACGUGGUCAUCGCCAGCGAAUGAAACUUUGAAUGUAGAAUCUAAAGCGUAAUAUAAGCUAACUAAAUAUAACUAUUUGUUUGUAAUAAGUUAUAAAGUCGCAAGUGUAUGUGCAAAAUAUUAGUUAACUUUAGUUUUAUGUAAAUAUAUAGUAGGGUGGGGGAAGACUGAUCAUGUUUUAAAUAAUUAACAACGGUCUAUAGUAGUCGUAAGGAUAAUUUUUUAUAAUUCUUUGAAUUCUUUUUGUUAACUACCAAAUGGAUGAGGAAAUCGAUAAAAAAUGUCACAUUUCCCCUACCCUUUUAUACAUAUACAACAAUAGGAUGUACUAAAAUAAAUGAAUUUGCAACACAGG